ensembl:lncRNA
AGAACCUGGCAUCCAGCCGCCUUAGUCUGGCAUCUUCUCGGUCAGCUGGCUUUCUGAAUGAAGUGGUAUUCCUUGCCUCUACACCUCAUCUUGGACCCACUGGCCUGGCUUGCAGCAAGCAGAGCUUGGACUGAGAUCAAAUCCCCGACCCAGGUGUGGUGGUAUUUCUUUUCCACACCAGAUGCUGACUCUGAGGACUGCUCUGGGCCAGCGAGGCAACCUCUCAGCAUGCCACUAACCUCCUGGGAAGGAGAAAAAAAGCAGACUUUGAAUGAAGAAGAUUAAUGUGCUUGGUUAGCAGCUUUGGUUGAGGCACCAGGCAGUUCAGUUGGUAAAGAAUCUGCCUGCAAUGCAGGAGAUCCCAGUUCGAUUCCUGAGUCAGGAAGAUCCACGGGAGAAGGAAUAGGCUAUCCACUCCAGUAUUCUUGGGCUUCCCUUGUGGCUCAGAUUCGGGUAAAGAACCUGCCUGAGGCCUGGGUUUGAUCCCUGGGUUGGGAAGAUCACCUGGAGAAGGGAAAGGCUACCCAUUCCAGUAUUCUGGCCUAGAGAAUUCCAUGGACUGUAUAGGCCAUGGGGUCACAAAGAGUCGGACACGACUGAGAGACUUUCACUAUCUUUGUGAGUUUAGAUCUUUUGCCUAUUUAACAAACUGGAUUGUAUAUUUUCUUAUUUUUGAGUUUUAAGAGUUCUUUAUUCUGGAUACAUGUUCUUUAUAAGAUAUGUGAUUUGCAGACGUUUUCUUAGUGUGUGGCUUGUCUUAAUUUCUCUUAACAAUGUUAUUGCAGAGCAAACAGUUUUCCUUCAUGAAGUCCAGUUUGUCGAUUUUUCUCUCGAGGAUCCUGCUUUUAGUACAGCAUUUCAAGUUCAUUACCCAAACAGAAGUUAUACAGAAUUUCUUCUAGAAGUUCUAUAGAUUUCUGGUAUAGAGUUAUUUCUAUGAUCCUUUUUGAGUUAAGUUUUAUAUAAGAUUAAAGUUAAAUUUUUUUUUUUUUUUUUGGUAUGCAGUCAUCUGAUUCUUCCAGUACCCUUAGUCGAAAAACCUAUCCUUUGCCAGGUAUCGUCCUGGCACCUUCAAAAUUCAGUUUAUCAAAUUGGUGUAUAUAUUGGGGUUAAUUUCUGAGCUUUCUGCUCUGUCCCUUUCUCAGAGCUUUUGCUUCUUCAGAUCCUUGUAAGGCUGGCUUCUUAUUCAGGAUCCGUGUGAAAGUCACCUUUUUAAAGAGGUUUUUCUGGGUCACCCGAUCUAAACUUGUCCUCCUUUAUUCAAAUCAUGUCAUAUUGUUGUGCUGUCUCUGUAGUACUAAGACCUGAAACUGCCUAGUACUGGGUAAGAAAGUGUUCAGGCCAAGGAGAUACCAUCCCACUGAACUCCAAAAGGGGCAGAUCAUAAAAGAAAAUCCCCUUCCUCUCUAGCCCUCUCUCACUUGUUAAAUCCUCUGUCAGCUCCAGAUCCCAAGACCCAGGUCUUCUGUCUCUCUCCUCAGUGAGUGGAGCCAGUGGUUCCCAUUCUCACUGUGCAUUAGCUUUAACUGGGGGAACUUUAAGAAUACUUAUUCCCAGGCUCCACCCCAGGGAUUCUAAUUAUGUGGAAAUGCGGCCUGGUCACCUGUAUUUUUUUAAAGCUUCCAAGUUGAUGGCAGUGUGCAGCUACCAUUUCUAGCUUGAAUGCUGACCACAGUUGGUACUCAAUAAA